GACGUAGUGGCGGAAGAAAAUCGCACCUGCCUCCAGCGUUUAGCAGGAAUGGGUUCCAGCAGGAAUUCCUGGUUCGAGUCCAGGCUAGGUCU